AUACCCUAUUAUUUUAAGUGUUAAUUUUGCUUACCUGGGUACUAUUAGUUAGGAUCUUUAAACCCAAAGAAUUUGGCGGUACCUUAUUCCAUUCAGAGGAACCUAUCCCGUAAUUGAUAAUACACGAUUUACUUUACUUAAUUUAUUUGUUUGUAUAUCUCCGUUAUCAGAAAAUCUUAUUGGAGUUAUAAUUUUCUUGAUUUAUGAUUGUAAAAUAUUUCAGGUCAAGGUGCAGCUUAUAAUUAAGAGGAGGUGGGUUACAAUAAAUUUUUGUUUAUUAUGGAUUUAAUAGUUAAAUACUUUUAAUGAAGGUGGAUUUGAUAGUAAUUUAAUUAAGUUAUUUUAAUUGAUAUUGGCUCUAAGGUGUGUACACAUCGCCCGUCACUCUCA
rnacentral:rRNA from 1 species